rnacentral:lncRNA from 1 species
CAUCUUCCGUCACCACCGAAACCACCAUCUUCACCAUCGGCCUUCUCCUCCUUCCCUAUUUAACUCUCAUUUUCAAAAUCAAGAUAAAAGUCUCGUAUUUAACUCUAGCCUUACUAUACACUAAGAAAACCAUCAAAACCUAUUGUCUUCUCACAGGAGAAAACAACACAUCUCUCCUAAAAACUCAUACCCUCUCAUUCACCAUCAAAGUUGGUUGGCUCGAUUUUGGUAUUUGAAGCACUCUCCCUUCAGUUGUUUUUCUUCGG